UUAAAGUGUUGGAAAUGGAAUGAUGGGAAUUUAAACCUCUUCCAGAGUAUCAAUUGGAGGGCAAGUCUGGUGCCAGCAGCCGCGGUAAUUCCAGCUCCAAUAGCGUAUAUUAAAAUUGUUGCAGUUAAAAAGCUCGUAGUUGAAUUUCUGCUGCAUUCAAAUUUUUUUUUUGAGUUUGUUUUUGUGGCUUAUUUCGGUUUGAUUUUUUCUUUCCGGAUGAUUACUUUGAGAAAAUUAGAGUGCUCAAAGCAGGCUUUUGCCUUGAAUAGUUUAGCAUGGAAUAAUAAAGUAGGACUUUGGUUCUAUUUUGUUGGUUUUAGGUACCAAAGUAAUGGUAAAUAGGAACAGUUGGGGGCAUUCGUAUUUA
rnacentral:rRNA from 1 species